CCCCUCCCUCGCCCAGCCUCACCCCUUGGCCUCACUAGGGUGUUGGUUUUCUUUCAGUUCUCUGCUUCCAACCAGUCCACUGGCUGACCCAGGCCGGUUUCUGCUCCCCGUUGCGGAGAACCAACGCGCCUCUCAUUGCGCACAGCUUUUCCAAUCCUGAGCGCAGGCAUAUGUUGAUUGUUCUUCAGCUAUGGAGAAGCUCUGUGGGCAUGUGCCUGGCCAUUCAGACAUCCUCUCCUUGAAGAACCGGUGCCUGACCAUGCUCCCUGACCUCCAGCCCCUGGAGAAAAUACAUGGACAUAGAUCUGUCCACUCAGACAUCCUUUCCUUGGAGAACCAGUGUCUGACCAUGCUCUCUGACCUCCAGCCCACGGAGAGAAUAGAUGGGCAUAUAUCUGUCCACCCAGACAUCCUCUCCUUGGAGAAUCGGUGCCUGACCAUGCUCCCUGACCUCCAGCCUCUGGAGAAGCUAUGUGGACAUAUGUCUAGUCAUCCAGACGUCCUUUCUUUGGAAAACCAAUGUCUAGCUACUCUCCCCACUGUAAAGAGCACUGCAUUGACCAGCCCCUUGCUCCAGGGUCUUCACAUAUCUCAUACGGCACAAGCUGAUCUGCAUAGCCUGAAAACUAGCAACUGCCUGCUCCCUGAGCUUCCUACCAAGAAGACUCCAUGUUUCUCUGAGGAACUAGACCUUCCACCUGGACCCAGGGCCCUGAAAUCCAUGUCUGCUACAGCUCAAGUCCAGGAAGUAGCCUUGGGUCAAUGGUGUGUCUCCAAAGAAAAGGAAUUUCAAGAAGAAGAAAGCACAGAAGUCCCAAUGCCUUUGUACAGUCUAAGCUUGGAAGAAGAAGAAGUGGAGGCACCGGUCUUAAAACUCACAUCUGGAGACUCUGGCUUUCAUCCUGAAACCACUGACCAGGUCCUUCAGGAGAAGAAGAUGGCUCUCUUGACCUUACUCUGCUCUGCUCUGGCCUCAAAUGUGAAUGUGAAAGAUGCAUCUGACCUUACCCGGGCAUCCAUCCUUGAAGUCUGUAGUGCCCUGGCCUCCUUGGAACCGGAGUUCAUCCUUAAGGCAUCUUUGUAUGCUCGGCAGCAACUUAACCUCCGGGACAUCGCCAAUACAGUUCUGGCUGUGGCUGCCCUCUUGCCAGCCUGCCGCCCCCAUGUACGACGGUAUUACUCCGCCAUUGUUCACCUGCCUUCAGACUGGAUCCAGGUAGCCGAGUUCUACCAGAGCCUGGCAGAAGGGGAUGAGAAGAAGUUGGUGUCCCUGCCUGCCUGUCUCCGAGCUGCCAUGACCGACAAAUUUGCCGAGUUUGAUGAGUACCAGCUAGCUAAGUACAACCCACGGAAACAUCGGUCCAAGAGGCGGUCCCGCCAGCCACCCCGCCCUCAAAAGACAGAACGUCCAUUUUCAGAGAGAGGGAAAUGUUUUCCAAAGAGCCUUUGGCCCCUUAAAAAUGAACAGAUUACGUUUGAAGCAGCUUAUAAUGCAAUGCCAGAGAAAAACAGGCUACCACGGUUCACUCUGAAGAAGUUGGUAGAGUAUCUACAUAUCCACAAGCCUGCUCAGCACGUCCAGGCCCUGCUGGGCUACAGGUACCCAGCCACCCUAGAGCUCUUUUCUCGGAGUCACCUCCCUGGGCCGUGGGAGUCUAGCAGAGCUGGUCAGCGGAUGAAGCUCCGAAGGCCAGAGACCUGGGAGCGGGAGCUGAGUUUACGGGGAAACAAAGCUUCUGUGUGGGAGGAGCUCAUAGACAAUGGGAAACUGCCCUUCAUGGCCAUGCUCCGGAACCUGUGUAACCUGCUGCGGACUGGGAUCAGUGCCCGCCACCAUGAACUCGUUCUCCAGAGACUCCAGCAUGAGAAAUCUGUGGUUCACAGUCGGCAGUUUCCAUUCAGAUUCCUUAAUGCUCAUGACUCUAUCGAUAAACUUGAGGCUCAGCUCAGAAGCAAAGCAUCACCCUUCCCUUCCAAUACAACAUUGAUGAAACGGAUAAUGAUUAGAAACUCAAAAAAAAAUAGGAGGCCUGCCAGUCGGAAGCACCUGUGCACCCUGACGCGCCGGCAGCUUCGGGCAGCAAUGACUAUACCUGUGAUGUAUGAGCAGCUCAAGCGGGAGAAACUGAGGCUGCACAAGGCCAGACAAUGGAACUGUGAUGUUGAGUUGCUGGAGCGCUAUCGCCAGGCCCUGGAAACAGCUGUGAACCUCUCAGUAAAGCACAACCUAUCCCCGAUGCCUGGCCGAACCCUCUUGGUCUAUCUCACAGAUGCAAAUGCCGACAGGCUCUGUCCCAAGAGUCACUCACAAGGGCCUCCCCUGAACUAUGUGCUGCUGCUGAUCGGAAUGAUGGUGGCUCGAGCCGAGCAAGUGACUGUUUGCUUGUGUGGGGGAGGAUUUGUGAAGACACCGGUACUUACAGCCGAUGAAGGCAUCCUGAAGACUGCCAUCAAACUUCAGGCUCAAGUCCAGGAGUUAGAAGGCAAUGAUGAGUGGCCCCUGGACACUUUUGGGAAGUAUCUGCUGUCUCUGGCUGUCCAAAGGACCCCCAUUGACAGGGUCAUCCUGUUUGGUCAAAGGAUGGAUACCGAGCUCCUGAAAGUAGCCAAACAGAUUAUCUGGCAGCAUGUGAAUUCCAAGUGCCUCUUUGUUGGUGUCCUCCUACAGAAAACACAGUACAUAUCACCAAAUUUGAAUCCCAACGAUGUGACGCUCUCAGGCUGCACUGACGGGAUCCUGAAAUUCAUUGCCGAACAUGGAGCCUCUCGUCUCCUGGAACAUGUGGGACAACUAGAUAAACUAUUCAAGAUCCCCCCACCCCCAGGAAAGACACAGGCACCGUCUCUCCGGCCGCUGGAGGAGAACAUCCCUGGUCCCUUGGGUCCUAUUUCCCAGCAUGGAUGGCGCAAUAUCCGGCUUUUCAUUUCAUCCACUUUCCGUGACAUGCAUGGGGAGCGAGAUUUGCUGAUGAGAUCUGUUCUGCCCGCACUGCAGGCCAGAGUGUUCCCCCACCGCAUCAGUCUUCACGCCAUUGACCUGCGCUGGGGUAUCACAGAGGAAGAGACCCGCAGGAACAGACAACUGGAAGUGUGCCUUGGGGAGGUGGAGAACUCACAGCUGUUCGUGGGGAUUCUGGGCUCCCGCUAUGGCUACAUUCCCCCCAGCUAUGAUCUUCCUGAUCAUCCCCACUUUCACUGGACCCAUGAGUACCCUUCAGGGCGAUCCGUGACAGAGAUGGAGGUGAUGCAAUUCCUGAACCGUGGCCAACGCUCGCAGCCUUCGGCCCAAGCUCUCAUCUACUUCCGAGAUCCUGAUUUCCUUAGCUCUGUGCCAGAUGCCUGGAAACCUGACUUUAUAUCUGAGUCAGAAGAAGCUGCACAUCGGGUCUCAGAGCUGAAGAGAUAUCUACACGAACAGAAAGAGGUUACCUGUCGCAGCUACUCCUGUGAAUGGGGAGGUGUAGCGGCUGGCCGGCCCUAUACUGGGGGCCUGGAGGAGUUUGGACAGUUGGUUCUCCAGGAUGUGUGGAGCAUGAUCCAGAAGCAGCACCUGCAGCCUGGGGCCCAGUUGGAGCAGCCAACAUCCAUCUCAGAAGACGAUUUGAUCCAGACCAGCUUUCAGCAGCUGAAGACCCCAACGAGUCCGGCACGGCCACGCCUUCUUCAGGAUACAGUGCAGCAGCUGUUGCUGCCCCAUGGGAGGCUGAGCCUAGUGACUGGGCAGGCAGGACAGGGAAAGACUGCCUUUCUGGCAUCCCUUGUGUCUGCCCUGAAGGUCCCUGACCAGCCCAAUGAGCCCCCGUUCGUUUUCUUCCACUUUGCAGCAGCCCGCCCUGACCAGUGUCUUGCUCUCAACCUCCUCAGACGCCUCUGUACCCAUCUGCGUCAAAAACUGGGAGAGCUGAGUGCCCUCCCCAGCACUUACAGAGGCCUGGUGUGGGAACUGCAGCAGAAGUUGCUCCUCAAAUUCGCUCAGUCGCUGCAGCCUGCUCAGACUUUGGUCCUUAUCAUCGAUGGGGCAGAUAAGUUGGUGGAUCGUAAUGGGCAGCUGAUUUCAGACUGGAUCCCCAAGUCUCUUCCGCGGCGAGUACACCUGGUGCUGAGUGUGUCCAGUGACUCAGGCCUGGGUGAGACCCUUCAGCAAAGUCAGGGUGCUUAUGUGGUGGCCUUGGGCUCUUUGGUCCCAUCUUCAAGGGCUCAGCUUGUGAGAGAAGAGCUAGCACUGUAUGGGAAACGACUGGAGGAGUCACCUUUUAACAACCAGAUGCGGCUGCUGCUGGCAAAGCAGGGUUCAAGCCUGCCAUUGUACCUGCACCUUGUCACUGACUACCUGAGGCUCUUCACACUGUAUGAACAGGUGUCUGAGAGACUUCGAACCCUGCCCGCCACUCUCCCACUGCUCUUGCAGCACAUCCUGAGCACCUUGGAGCAAGAACAUGGCCAUGAUGUCCUUCCUCAGGCUUUGACUGCCCUUGAGGUCACACGAAGUGGUCUGACUGUGGACCAGCUACAUGCAAUCCUGAGCACAUGGCUGAUCUUGCCCAAGGAGACUAAGAGCUGGGAAGAAGUGCUGGCUGCCAGUCACAGUGGAAACCCUUUCCCCUUGUGUCCAUUUGCCUACCUUGUCCAGAGUCUACGCAGUUUACUAGGGGAGGGCCCAGUGGAGCGCCCUGGUGCCCGUCUCUGCCUCUCUGAUGGGCCCCUGAGGACAACAAUUAAACGUCGCUAUGGGAAAAGGCUGGGGCUAGAGAAGACUGCGCAUGUCCUCAUUGCAGCUCACCUCUGGAAGACGUGUGAUCCUGAUGCCUCGGGCACCUUCCGAAGUUGCCCUCCUGAGGCUCUGAAAGAUUUACCUUACCACCUGCUCCAGAGCGGGAACCAUGGUCUCCUUGCCGAGUUUCUUACCAAUCUCCAUGUGGUUGCUGCAUAUCUGGAAGUGGGUCUAGUCCCCGACCUCUUGGAGGCUCAUGUGCUCUAUGCUUCUUCAAAGCCUGAAGCCAACCAGAAGCUCCCAGCGGCAGAUGUUGCUGUUUUCCAUACCUUCCUGAGACAACAGGCUUCACUCCUUACCCAGUAUCCUUUGCUCCUGCUCCAGCAGGCAGCUAGCCAGCCUGAAGAGUCACCUGUUUGCUGCCAGGCCCCCCUGCUCACCCAGCGAUGGCACGACCAGUUCACACUGAAAUGGAUUAAUAAACCCCAGACCCUGAAGGGUCAGCAAAGCUUGUCUCUGACAAUGUCCUCAUCCCCAACUGCUGUGGCCUUCUCCCCGAAUGGGCAAAGAGCAGCUGUGGGGACCGCCAGUGGGACAAUUUACCUGUUGAACUUGAAAACCUGGCAGGAGGAGAAGGCUGUGGUGAGUGGCUGUGACGGGAUUUCCUCUUUUGCAUUCCUUUCGGACACUGCCCUUUUCCUUACUACCUUCGACGGGCACCUAGAGCUUUGGGACCUGCAACAUGGUUGUUGGGUGUUUCAGACCAAGGCCCACCAGUACCAAAUCACUGGCUGCUGCCUGAGCCCAGACCGCCGCCUGCUGGCCACUGUGUGUUUGGGAGGAUACCUAAAGCUGUGGGACACAGUCCGAGGACAGCUGGCUUUUCAGUACACCCAUCCAAAGUCUCUCAACUGCGUUGCCUUCCACCCAGAGGGGCAGGUGGUAGCCACAGGCAGCUGGGCUGGCAGCAUUACCUUCUUCCAGGCAGAUGGACUCAAAGUCACCAAGGAACUAGGGGCCCCCGGACCCUCUGUCUGUAGUUUGGCAUUCAACAAACCUGGGAAGAUUGUGGCUGUGGGCCGGAUAGAUGGGACAGUGGAGCUGUGGGCCUGGCAAGAGGGUGCCCGGCUGGCGGCCUUCCCUGCACAGUGUGGCUGUGUCUCUGCUGUUCUUUUCUUGCAUGCUGGAGACCGGUUCCUGACUGCUGGAGAAGAUGGCAAGGCUCAGUUAUGGUCAGGAUUUCUUGGCCGGCCCAGGGGUUGCCUGGGCUCUCUUCCUCUUUCUCCUGCACUCUCGGUGGCUCUCAACCCAGACGGUGACCAGGUGGCUGUUGGGUACCGAGAAGAUGGCAUUAACAUCUACAAGAUUUCUUCAGGUUCCCAGGGGCCUCAGCAUCAAGAGCUAAAUGUGGCGGUGUCUGCACUGGUGUGGCUGAGCCCUAGUGUUUUGGUGAGUGGUGCAGAAGAUGGAUCCCUGCAUGGUUGGAUGUUCAAGGGAGACUCCCUUCAUUCCCUGUGGCUGUUGUCGAGAUACCAGAAGCCUGUGCUGGGACUGGCUGCCUCCCGGGAACUCAUGGCUGCUGCCUCAGAAUCUCCUUUGCUGGGACAUGAAGAUAGCCCAAGCCCCUCUCCUGAUUCACACUUUCUCGUCCUGUCAUCGUGACUGGAUCACUGGCUGUGCGUGGACCAAAGACAACAUCCUGGUCUCCUGCUCGAGUGAUGGCUCUGUGGGACUCUGGAACCCAGAGGCAGGGCAGCAACUUGGCCAGUUCUCAGGCCACCAGAGUGCCGUGAGCGCCGUGGUUGCUGUGGAGGAACACAUUGUAUCUGUGAGCCGAGAUGGGACCUUGAAAGUGUGGGACCAUCAGGGUGUGGAGCUGACCAGCAUCCCUGCCCAUUCCGGACCCAUCAGCCAGUGUGCAGCUGCUCUGGAGCCCCGCCCAGGGGGACAGCCUGGAUCAGAGCUUCUGGUGGUGACUGUUGGACUAGAUGGGGCCACAAAGUUGUGGCAUCCCCUGUUGGUGUGCCAAAUACGUACUCUCCAGGGACACAGUGGCCCAGUCACAGCAGCUGCUGCUUCAGAGGCCUCAGGCCUCCUGCUGACCUCAGAUGAUAGCUCUGUACAGCUCUGGCAGAUACCAAAGGAAGCAGAUGAUUCAUACAAACCUAGGAGUUCUGUGGCCAUCACUGCUGUGGCAUGGGCACCGGAUGGUUCUAUGGUGGUGUCCGGAAAUGAAGCCGGGGAACUGACACUGUGGCAGCAAGCCAAGGCUGUGGCUACCGCACAGGCUCCAGGCCGCGUCAGUCACCUGAUCUGGUACUCGGCAAAUUCAUUCUUCGUUCUCAGUGCUAAUGAAAACGUCAGCGAGUGGCAAGUGGGACUGAGGAAAGGUUCAACGUCCACCAGUUCCAGGUGAAGCGAGGCGGCGGCGGCGGCUGCUGCGCAUGGCAAGCCACACACGCCUAGCAUUUUGUUAGGAUCUGUCUGUGUCUGCUUUCGGGCAAGGCUGUGAGAGGAUGUCAGCUGCUGCUGGCUUUAUCGGUUGUUUUCAAAUUGCAUUUAUUGAUCUCCGUGUGUAUAUGUGACAAGGAAUUGGGGCAGCAAAGUCAUUUUGCUUUAUACUACUUUAUUUGUGAUAGCACCCAUGGAACUGAGUAGUCUGAGGGAGGUUAGCCAAAGUAGUGCCUUUAUAGUCCUCACCUGUGUAUUCGGAGGUCAGAGAACAAUCUGAGGGAAUUGGCUCACCUUACCAGCAUAUGGGUUCUGGGGAUCAAAGGUUUUUUUUUUAAACAUUUAUUUACUUUAUUUAUGAGUACAAUGUAGGUAUCUUCAGACACACCAGAAGAGGGCAUCAGAUCCCAUGACAGAUGGUCGUGAAUUACCAUGUGGUUGCUGGGAAUUGAACUUAGGACCUCUGGAAGAGCAGUCAGUGUUCUUAAGCUCUGAGCCAUCUCUCCAGCCCCAUGAAUAAUUCUUAAAUGCCUAUUGGUGACAAGUUCUGGGCCAGACAGUGUGGUAUCAAUGAAUUGUUUUUAUUUAUUUGUUUUGUUUUUGUUUUUCAAGACAGAGUUUCUGUGUACUCCUAGAUAUCCUGGAAAUUGCUCUGUAGAUCAGGCUGGAAUCAAACUCAGAGAUCCACCUGCUUCUGCCUCCUAAAUGCUGGGAUGAAAAGCAUGUGCCAGCCACCACCUGGCUUUAUUGACCAAGCCAGCUCAGUCAGUCAGCAGGGUCUCUAGGGAGGGAGGAAGGAUUCAAAGAAAAAAAACAAUUAGACAACAUUAUAAAAUGAUUCCAGCCAGUGCUAAAGCUGUGGUGGAUUUGGUGGUUUUUGUUUCUUUGUUUGUUUUAUUUUUGUUUUUAUUUUUUUUCCAGUCUGCUUUAUAUCAUUCUAGGUACAUACAAAGAAUAGAAUCAGUUCAGUGUUUUUUUUUUUUUUCUUCUUCUUCGAGACAGGGUUUCUCUGUGUAGGCCUGGCUGUCCUGGAACUCACUCUGUAGACCAGGCUGGCCUCGAACUCAGAAAUCCACCUGCCUCUGCCUCCCAAGUGCUGGGAUUAAAGGCAUGCGCCACCACGCCCAGGUAGAGUCAGUUCUUAGAUUUAAAAAAAAGUAGUCAAACAAGGCAAGAAGCAAAGUUCCUUGGUCUCGGCGUCUAGGGGCUUAUCAGGAUGAUGGUGCGGUUUACAUGACGAGUUUCCUGGCCUAAAUGGCACUGCCAUUAUGGAGUGGUGCUGAGGUCUGGAGACCACUAAGAUCUGGGGUCCUGUUGCACAAGGAAGCAUCCGCAGAACUUACUGAUGGAAGCAAAAGACAGCAAUGUUAGAGAAUCUCCUUUUGAGCAAGUAAGGGAGAAUGAUGGAAGAUGUUUUGAUAAGAAAGACGGGUGUUGGGAAUAUAUAUAGCUCAGUGCUAGAGUGCUUGUCUUAAUCCUGCCAGAAGCUCUGGGUCUGAUCCCAGUACAAGAGCAAACAAGCAUGCACACUGAUGGUUAGGAACAGGAUAUCUGGGGCAGGGCAGUCCUUGUGCGUUAUACUUCAUUCAUGAGAAGUCCUUGAGAGUCUGAAAGGUUAGGUUAAGAAGUAUCCUUCUCUGUUUUGUGUGUGUCUUCUGCACUACAGUCUUCAUCUGAAGAGAGUUCUGCAGGAGGACUGGGGAGUCUUGACAGGUCUGGGUCUGGCCCCUGAUGGCCAGUCUCUCAUCUUGAUGAAAGAGGAUGUGGAAUUACUAGAGAUGAAGCCUGGGUCUAUUCCAUCUUCUAUCUGCAGGAGGUAUGGAGUACAUUCUUCAAUACUGUGCACCAGCAAGGAGUACGGCUUGUUCUACCUGCAGCAGGGGGACUCCGGAUUACUUUCUAUAUUGGAGCAAAAGGAGUCAGGGGAGUUUGAAGAGAUCCUGGACUUCAAUCUGAACUUAAAUAAUCCUAAUGGGUCCCCAGUAUCAAUCACUCAGGCCAAACCUGAGUCUGAAUCAUCCCUUUUGUGCGCCACCUCUGAUGGGAUGCUGUGGAACUUAUCUGAAUGUACCUCAGAGGGAGAAUGGAUCGUAGAUAACAUUUGGCAGAAAAAAGCAAAAAAACCUAAAACUCAGACUCUGGAGACAGAGUUGUCCCCGCACUCAGAGUUGGAUUUUUCCAUUGAUUGCUGGAUUGAUCCCACAAAUUUAAAGGCACAGCAGUGUAAAAAGAUCCACUUGGGCUCUGUCACAGCCCUCCAUGUGCUUCCGGGAUUGCUGGUGACAGCUUCGAAGGACAGAGAUGUUAAGCUGUGGGAGAGACCCAGUAUGCAGCUGCUGGGCUUGUUCCGAUGUGAAGGGCCAGUGAGCUGUCUGGAACCUUGGAUGGAGCCCAGCUCUCCCCUGCAGCUUGCUGUGGGAGACACACAAGGAAACUUGUAUUUUCUAUCUUGGGAAUGAAGAUGCAGUACUCAGGACAAAGAUGAUGUCAACAGAUGCUGCUAGCCUGAAGACACCUGUGUCUAUAUUCUUAGUAAGAUUAUAAAACUAAAAUGUUGAGAGAUCUAGAGUG